rnacentral:lncRNA from 1 species
UUCAAUUCUCUUGGCUUCGAUUUAGUUCUUUCUUUAGCAAAGCGAUGACAUCUUCUUGGGUGACAAAAGAUGGUACCUUUUGUUUAGACCCCUUUUUGGUAGCAACAGACUCCUUUUGUGGAAGUCUCUCGUUUUCUUUGAUUGGCUUAGCAAUUGAACUUUUCAGCUCUUUGAUCAUGUCUGCCAUCUCCCUCUAGGUUUCCCC